CACGCUCUCAAGUUUCACUAUGUAUUUUAUCACUUCUGCCAGACUGGAACAGAGUUGUCUGCUUUAACUAAGCACUGUGCUUCUAGCUUUCAAACCUCAAGGACGGUUGUAAUUUGGCACCUGAAAAUGGUAGCCAUUUUCUCUAUCAGGUUAAGAUACCCUUCUUGAAGCUGUAGAACCUAUCAGCCUGCUGGAAUGCAGCUGUGUAUCUGAAAAUCCUGGAUAAGGAAGAGAGACUGCAGCCAGCACUUGCUUCUGUCGCUAGACCAUUUCACAGUUUCUUUCAUAUGCCGGUGCUGGCUGAGGUGAGCCUGGAGGGGCAGUGGCAACGCUUCCAGUGCUGGACGAGUCACCAGGGAGGACGGUGUAGAUCAGCUUUCCGGAGGAAAGUCGUGCUGGGAGACAGCGGGCCCCGUCUGGCUGGCAGCUACCGCUGUACCAGAGCCUUCUGACUUUUAAACGGGGAUGUCCAUGCAACGAUUACUGGCAAACUCCUAAAAUAAUACUAAUAAUAAAAACAACAACAACAACA
rnacentral:lncRNA from 1 species